rnacentral:rRNA from 1 species
GUGGGGAAUAUUGCACAAUGGGCGCAAGCCUGAUGCAGCGACGCCGCGUGGGGGAUGAAGGCCUUCGGGUUGUAAACUCCUUUCAACCAUGACGAAGCAUUAUGUGACGGUAGUGGUAGAAGAAGCACCGGCUAACUACGUGCCAGCAGCCGCGGUAAUACGUAGGGUGCGAGCGUUGUCCGGAAUUACUGGGCGUAAAGAGCUCGUAGGUGGUUUGUCGCGUCGUCUGUGAAAUUCCGGGGCUUAACUCCGGGCGUGCAGGCGAUACGGGCAUAACUUGAGUGCUGUAGGGGAGACUGGAAUUCCUGGUGUAGCGGUGAAAUGCGCAGAUAUCAGGAGGAACACCAAUGGCGAAGGCAGGUCUCUGGGCAGUAACUGACGCUGAGGAGCGAAAGCAUGGGUAGCGAACAGGAUUAGAAACCCUAGUAGUCC